GGUGCAGAGGGGCUGGUUGUUGUGCUCUGACACUGCUUUACCAGGGAGAUCGAGGCGAAGACUUCUGAGGACUGGACCUGUGCUGACCGUUCAGCCACAGAGUGAUUUAUGAUCCCUCCUCCAGGGUUAGCCACACUUCACUUCUUCUCGUUGUGAAUCCGUCUUUAUUUUUCUCCUUUUUUUUUUUUCUCUCCUCUCAAGUAUCUCCACUUCCUUUUUAUCCUUUUCACCCUGCCCCCGCAUUUCUGUCUCGUCCCACUCAGAAUGUCAACUGACGACCAAUAUUCCUAAUGAGUUUGGAUCUCCACAGAAACGCUGACGAGCGGCCCUGUUAAUCAUCAUAUCUGUGGAUGCCUUGCCAUGUGCUGAGAAAGGUGCAGAGUUUCCACAGAAAGCCUUGUGAAUCUGGAAAGGUCCGGAUGAAGAUACUAUAUUCAGACUGAUCGAGGAAAAAACACUGUGGUUGUAUCUCAAUUAUCUAUGCUGUCCUUCACUGAUCCCCAUGUGUCUAAAUGGAUCGGACCGAAUGUGCGAGUUUCACAAACAUGACCUGGAGGCAGAUCUUACCUGGAUGCGAUGAUCUGAGGGUAGAACUCCAGGAUUCUUUGUCUUGCGGGACCUUUUGUUUGAUGAACAACCAGACCAACAGGCAGGGGAUGACUGGAACAAUGCCACACAGGUGGUGACUGUGUGAAUGCUACUGGUACUAAAGCCGGAGGAAACAUCAAGACCUAACUGAGUGGGGAACCAGAGGAGAGAGAGCCAGGAUCGGCCACUGCUGUGUUACUAGAGGCUCCGGGGAGGGAAGAAAGGGCCUCAUAUGGAGGCUGGUUGGCCUCCAGUGAUUUGCGGCGCUGGACCCAGUUCAACGGUGGACCGCGAGAGGUUCUUGGCUCUCACAGAAUGGCGAGGAACGCUACGAGCACUUCCGUUCGCUCAUCCAUUUUAUCUGGCAACUCAUUUUCCACGCUUUCGGAUAAUUCAGUCAAAUACAUUAACAGUAGACUACGCUACAUUUAACAUCACACAGACCCAUUUUUUAAGCCUGCAUUUACUUUGCCCGAAAGGAAGAGGAGGAAUAAGAGCAAGAAAAAAAGGGAAAGAAUGCAGUGAAAUAGUGUCUCUCUAAUGUCAAGUGUGUCAAUUCCAUUUCAAUUGAAUUCAUUUAAAAAGUAGCCCACAUUCAAAUUCUUUCUUGGAGAAAAUAAUUGGUAUUGACCCCCAACUCUGACAGAGACAACCUCUCACCACACAGCUCUGUCGUCAUUGUCACCGCUCCUCAGUGAGGACUGUCAGUCAUUCAUCCAAAGCCAGAUAGCAUCUUAUCUGCAAUACAAUACAUGAUCCGGCCUCUGUUUGUCCUACGAAUUAGCAGGCUGUUUGUACUGACGCGUGAGCUACUGCAUCCUGGGUUCGCAGAGGACAAAUAGAAGCAACGGGGUCAUUACAGAGACAGCGCAAGCCGACAAACCAGCCACGUUUGUGAUCCAAAACUGUAGCUGCUCCCGACUGCACCUGCCUCACUGCCUGUGCAACGGAACCUGUAGAGCGAUCCGAUAUUGGAACCAACGCAGUUGUCCUCAAAGUGCUAGCCCACCCAACUGUUGUCCCUUUCACUCAUAUUUUGAGAUUUUGGUGUGUCCUCCCAUGUAAUGUUUAAUGCUAGAUAAGAGAGGAAACGGCCACAUAACAGUGAAACUGCCACAUCUGUUUGCGAUCUGUCAUCCGCACAUGGGUAACUGUCAAACGAAUGCAAGCAGCUUCUUAGAAAUUGCAGGAUUGAAGAACGCAGUAUAUGUGAGGCACAUUCAUUAGUUUUUAUUUCAGCUCAGUAACAAACACAAAAAUAAUGCUGUUUACUUCAAAAACAGACUACAUUUUUCAGUACUGUUCCCAUGCUGUCAUUCUGAUAUGAUGUUUAAAUUAACUAUUAAUGUGAGAUUAAUGUGUGUGUGUGUGUUUAUUUUUUAUAUACUGUGACUACAACAUGUAUUUGUAAUCAUUUAUUAAAAUUUAAUUUUGUGUUCUUUCUGCUGCCCAUGAAAUGCAAAGGCCUAGCUGUGCGGGCGUUAGAAAUAAAAGAGAGAAGAAACUGUCUCUCAACACACAGACCUGAUUGGAUGCUCUGGAGACCAUCGCCUUACCCAUGAACAGUCACUGGUCAAUUAUAAUCAAAUUAUCCUUGUGACAUUGUGCUGUUGGCCAAAGUACCGCCUCAAAUAAACAGGCUGAAAUUCCAGAAAUGUUUAACACCUCUUUCAAGGAAAAGGUCAUUACAAUUAUGUUCACUAUAAAAUUGUUACUUUGACCUUAUAGUGUGGAAAUGUCAUUAAAAGAAAUUGGAA
ensembl:lncRNA